GCUGUCCCUGCUCCCCUGGAUGGGCUGCAGGUCGUCUGUCACCUGGAGUGCCUGCCGUGGGCAGUUUGUCUCUGCAAGGACUGCAGCCCUGAGAGGGAGAGAGAAAUCCUGGCAGAUGAAUCCUUGCUGGAGAAAGGGAACGUGGGUGGAGGCAGGAUGGCAGAAGGUGGUCACUUAUGGCUGACACUGAGGAUUCCUGCUCCUGAGUGCCACUGGCUGGACCCUGGGAGAAAUCUUGGGAAUACAGACAUGAGCAGGGAUGUCCAAGGAUGCAGUUCCUGGAUCACUGUUUGGACAGAGUCUUGUUUACAAAAGCCUGGAGUGACAGGACAAGGGGGAGCGGCCUCGAACUGCCAGAGCUGGUUUAGAUGGGAGAUUGGGAAGGAAUUGUUCCCUGGGAGGGUGGGCAGAAGAUGUGACUGUCCCUGGAUCCCUGGAAGUGUCCCAGGCCGGGCUGGAUGGGGCUUGGAACAACCUGGCAUAGUGGAAGAUGUUCCUGCCCAUGGCAGUGUUGGGAUGAGAUGAACUUUAAGGUCCCUUCCAACCCAAAUCAUUCCAUGAUUUAUGCUAUGGAAUAAAGGCAGGAGUCCAGUUAUCUGCUUACUUUUUACUUACAGACCAAAAUUUCUA